AGAGUUUGAUCCUGGCUCAGAACGAACGCUGGCGGCAGGCCUAACACAUGCAAGUCGAGCGCGCCUUCGGGUGAGCGGCGGACGGGUUAGUAACGCGUGGGAACGUGCCCUUCUCUACGGAAUAGCCUCUGGAAACGGAGAGUAAUACCGUAUACGCCCUUUGGGGGAAAGAUUUAUCGGAGAAGGAUCGGCCCGCGUUAGAUUAGGUAGUUGGUGGGGUAAUGGCCUACCAAGCCUACGAUCUAUAGCUGGUUUUAGAGGAUGAUCAGCAACACUGGGACUGAGACACGGCCCAGACUCCUACGGGAGGCAGCAGUGGGGAAUCUUAGACAAUGGGGGCAACCCUGAUCUAGCCAUGCCGCGUGAGUGAUGAAGGCCUUAGGGUCGUAAAGCUCUUUCGCCUGUGAUGAUAAUGACAGUAGCAGGUAAAGAAACCCCGGCUAACUCCGUGCCAGCAGCCGCGGUAAUACGGAGGGGGUUAGCGUUGUUCGGAAUUACUGGGCGUAAAGCGCGCGUAGGCGGAUUAGAAAGUUGGGGGUGAAAUCCCGGGGCUCAACCUCGGAACUGCCUCCAAAACUGCUAGUCUAGAGUUCGAGAGAGGUGAGUGGAAUUCCGAGUGUAGAGGUGAAAUUCGUAGAUAUUCGGAGGAACACCAGUGGCGAAGGCGGCUCACUGGCUCGAUACUGACGCUGAGGUGCGAAAGUGUGGGGAGCAAACAGGAUUAGAUACCCUGGUAGUCCACACCGUAAACGAUGAAUGCCAGUCGUCGGGUAGUAUACUAUUCGGUGACACACCUAACGGAUUAAGCAUUCCGCCUGGGGAGUACGGUCGCAAGAUUAAAACUCAAAGGAAAUUGACGG
rnacentral:rRNA from 1 species